rnacentral:rRNA from 1 species
GAUGAACGCUGGCGGCGUGCCUAAUACAUGCAAGUCGAGCGAACAGACGAGGAGCUUGCUCCUCUGACGUUAGCGGCGGACGGGUGAGUAACACGUGGAUAACCUACCUAUAAGACUGGGAUAACUUCGGGAAACCGGAGCUAAUACCGGAUAACAUGUUGAACCGCAUGGUUCAACAGUUAAAGAUGGCUUUGCUGUCACUUAUAGAUGGAUCCGCGCCGCAUUAGCUAGUUGGUAAGGUAACGGCUUACCAAGGCAACGAUGCGUAGCCGACCUGAGAGGGUGAUCGGCCACACUGGAACUGAGACACGGUCCAGACUCCUACGGGAGGCAGCAGUAGGGAAUCUUCCGCAAUGGGCGAAAGCCUGACGGAGCAACGCCGCGUGAGUGAAGAAGGUCUUCGGAUCGUAAAACUCUGUUAUUAGGGAAGAACAAAUGUGUAAGUAACUAUGCACGUCCUGACGGUACCUAAUCAGAAAGCCACGGCUAACUACGUG